CUUAAUUGUUGUUUGAUUAUUUUUAUUAAAAACUUAAAUAUUUAAAGCUUUUGUUCUAUUUAUUUGUAGAUCUUUUUUUUAUUAGAAGUCCUUAAUUUUCUUUUCUAGUGUAAUCUUUAAGAGGGUUUUUUCUAUAAAUGAUAAAUUUGGUGCCAGCAUUUGCGGUUAAACUAAAAUUUUUAAAAAUAUUUAUUAAGAUUAAUUAAUUAAUGGAAUAUGAAAUAUUUAUAUAGGUGAAAUUUUUUAUUUUUUUUUUUUUUUAAUAUUAAAGAUAAAUAAGUAAAUGGACUAGGAUUAGAUACCCUACUACACUUAAUUUUUUUUUUCUUAAAAGAUUAUAAUUAAAAUUUAAAAAUUUGGCGGCUUUUUUAUUUAGAGGAACUUGUCUAUUAAAUUGAUAAUCCGCAUUAAUUUGUUUUUAAGUUAAGUUUUGUAUACCAUCAUUUAAAUAAUUUUUAGAUAAAUAAUUAUUUAAAAUUUUUUAAGAAAGUUAGAUCAAGGUGCAGAUAUACUUAAAAUUAGAUUAGUUACAAUAUCAUUUUAUACAGUAAUAAAUUAAUUUUUAGUAAGAGGUGGAUUUAAAUGUAAUAUAAGUAUAUAUAUGAAAAUUAUUAAUUUAGUGUACAAAUUGCCCGUCACUCUCUUUGAGAUAAGUCGAAACAAAGUAGAAGUACCUGAAGGUGUUUCU
rnacentral:rRNA from 1 species